rnacentral:lncRNA from 1 species
CCAGAUGUAAGAGCUACUGAUGAUUAAUUGAGGAAAUGCAGGUGAAUUUGUGCAAAAUUAGGGAUGAAAAUUGAUUUUAUGAGGUCUGAGAGCAAGAGGAUCGUAAAGUGUAAAAGGAAGGCCUCAGGCCCUAUGUAUAGAAAAGGACCUGGGGCCCAGCUUACCUACCCUAAUGCGAACAACACAAAAUGCAAUAUGGUCCGCACCACAUAGUGUAAUUCAAAGUUUGAGAAGGCAACCACUGCGAUCCCGCACAAAAUGUAAUGUUGUCGCAAUGGUCCACCAUGGACCGCCCAAAAUGCAAUGCGGCCGCGGUGACAAACUUAGAGAGCUGGUAUUUUCGUCCUUCAUCAAUGCAUUUUGCACUGAUUUUGUGCCCCCCACACUAGUUCUUUGAGGCCGCACAACAUUCUGUGCGGUCUGCAUUGAAAACUUCAGAGACUUGACAAUUUUUCCACUAUCUCCUGCACUACAUCAACACAACCCUGCACAUCUCACAACAAGUCAGUCCAAAAAUAAAUCCUAUCCAACAAUGAAAAACAAAGAAAAACACAUGGGUUGCCUCCAAGAAGCGCCUGAUUUAACGUCGCGACACCACGCAUGUUACCAUCAAAUAAUUUGAGAUGAAGAAGUGCCACCAUGUGGCUGUUAUCAAUUUUUUCCAUGUAGUACUUGAAACAAUUUCCAUUCACUCGGAAAACUUCCCCAUUUUUGUUAUAUAAAUCAAGUGCACCAAACGGGGUCAUACACACCACUUCAAAAGGUCCACUCCAUUUUGACUUAAGCUUUCCCAGAAACAGAUAUAACCGAGAGUUGAACAAGAGAACCAAAUCACCCACUUUGAACUCCUUGCUACGAGCAUAUUUAUAAUGAAGGUACUUCAUCUUGUCCUUGUACAAGGAAGAACUAGACUAGGCAUGAAAUCAAAAUUCAUCAAGUUCAUUCAGUUGUUCCACACAAAGAUUGGGUGCAACAUCCCAUUGAAGAUUUAGCUUCCUCAAAGCCCACAUGGCCUUGUGCUAUAACUUGACCGGUAGAUGGCAAGCUUUCCCAAACACCAACCGAUAGAGAGACAUACCAAUUGAUGUCUUGUAAGCAGUCCUAUAAGCCGAUUAGCGUCAUCCAACUUCUUUGACCAAUCGGUCCUAUUUGCAUUGACUAACUUUAACAAUAUGCUUUUGAUUUCCUGUUGGAGACUUCGACUUGACCACUUGCUUGAGGAUGAUAGGGAGUAGAAACUUGUGAUUGACACCAUACUUUGCGAGCAAAGUGUCAAAAGAUCUAUUGCAAAAAUGAGACCCCCAUCACUGAUGAUUGCACGAGGAGUACCAAACCUUGUAAAAAUGCUCUUCUUGAGAAAUGCAAUAAUACUCCAGGCCUUAUUAUUGGGAAAAGCUACGACUUCAACCCACUUUGAAACAUAAGCUACCGCCACAAGAAUAUAUGUGUUCCCACAUGAGCUAACAAACAUGCCCAUAAAAUCAAUGUCCCAUACAUAAAAAAUAUCAACCUCGAGGAUGGUAUUGAUAGGCAUCUCAUCUUUCUUCGAAAUUCCGCUCGCUCUUUGACAUUCGUCACACCUCUUCACAAGUUCACUUGCAUAUUUAUGCAAAGCUGGCCAAUAAAACCCACAACUAAGAACUUUGGAAGCCAACCUCGCCCCGCCAUGAUGGCCACCAAAGGGAGAGGAAUGACAAUCCUGCAAGAUCCCCAAUUGCUCUUCCUCCGGGACACAUCUUCGGAUCACACCAUCCGUGCAAAUAUUGAAUAAGUACGACUUAUCCCAAUAGAAAUCCAAACUAUCCCGCUUGAGCUUCUUCCUUUUGUUAGAAGAGAGCUCACACGGGAUUAUACCAGUCAAAAGAAAAUUAGCAGCAUCAGCAAACCAUGGCAUAUCAUUCAUUAACAACGGAAGGAGUUGUUCGUCGGGAAAUGAAUCAUUGAUCUCUAGGCCAUCACGAGGCCUCCCCUCUUCCUCCAAGCGGGACAAGUGGUCCGCCACUUGGUCUUCACUACCCUUCCAGCCCAUAAUCUCCAUGUCAAACUCUUGAAGUAACAAGAUCCAUCGCAUUAGUCUAGCUUUGGAAUCCUUUUUCGUCAUCAAAUACCAGAGUGCGACAUGGUCGGUAUGAAUAAUAACCUUAGCACCCAUGAGAUAUGACCGAAAUUUUUCCAUUUUGAACACAACAGGGAAAAGUUCUGUCUCGGUCACCAUAUGGUUCACUUGAGCAUCAAUCAUUGUCUUGCUCGCAUAGUACACCAGAUGAAACAUUUUGUUCACUCUUUGACCCAAAAUCUCCCCAACCGCAAUAUCGCUCGCAUCACACAUGAGCUCGAAGGGUAAGCUCCAACUAUGUGCGGUAAUGAUAAGACUGUUGGUCAAUUUAUGCUUGAGAAAUUCAAAAGCUUGCAUACAUUUGUCAUCAAACACGAACUUGGCAUAUUUUUCCAACAACUUGCACAAGGAAUUCACUACCUUCGAAAAGUCUUUAAUAAAUCUCCGGCAAAACUCCGUAUGCCCAAGAAAACUUCGAGCUCCCUUGACAGAUGUAGGGUGAGGGAGCCUUGAAAUCACAUCAAUUUUUGAUUUCUAUGCCUCAAUACCAUGGUUUGGAAUUUUAUGCCCAAGAACUAUGGCCUCCUCCACCAUAAAGUGGCAUUUCUCCCAAUUGAGAACAAGAUUGGUUUCUUCAAAACAUGCCAAAACUCUAUCAAGAUUCUUCAAGAACUCAUCAAAUGAAUCUCCCACAACACUAAAGUCGUCCAUGAACACCUCAAAAAUGUCUUCCACCAUAUCGGUGAAAAUGGCCAUCAUACACCGCUGAAAUGUAGCCGGUACAUUACACAAACCAAAAGGCAUCCUAGAAAAGGCAAAUGGGUCAUAUGAACAAGUGAAUGUGGUCUUCUCCUGGUCUUCUAGAGCAAUCAAUAUUUAGUUGUAGCCAGACUACCCAUCCAAGAAAUAGUAGAAGGCACACCCAGCAAGUCGAUCCAACAUCUGAUCAAGAAAAGGUAAAGGAAAGUGAUCCUUGCGGGUCACUUUAUUCAAUUUGCGGUAGUCUAUGCAUACCCUCCAACCAGUUAUGGUUCUUGUAGGAAUCAACUUAUUUUGUGAAUUUGUAACCAUGGUCAUGCCAUCCUUUCUUCGGUACACAUUGCACCGGUGAAGUCCAAGAGCUAUCAAAGAUGGGGCACACAACCCCGGCAUCCAACCACUUGAUCACAUCCUUUUUCACAACUUCUUGCAUUUCCUCGUUCAACGUCCGUUAAUGCUCUAAGGAGGCCAUUGCAUCAUCUUUCAGAAUAAUCUAAUGCAUACAGAUUGCGGGGCUUAUUCCCCGAAUAUCAGCUAAAAUUCAUCCAAUUGCCUUUUUCCACUUUUGAAGCACCGACAAUAUGGUAUCAACCUAUAUGUUAGUAAGUCAAGAAGAAAGAAUAACUGGCAAAGUAGAAUUUGAUCCUAAGAACUCAUACCUAAGUUAUGGAGGCAGUGGUUUCAACUCCAACACCGGAGGCUGCUCAAUUGAAGGUUCUGUUGCUGGAGUAUUUCUAUUUAUGAGUCCAAAGAUGAUUUCCUAGGCUCAUAAGAGUAAGGUCCCAUCCCAUGUAAAGCAUUCACGCACUCCACUUGGCCCUUAUUAUCAUUGACAUCAAGAUUCAACAAUACGGCCUCCAAUGGGUCCUCCACAUUGAUCAUUGCACUGGUGUCAUCAAUUAUCACUGAUGUGAUGAGGUCCACAAAAGAUCACACUUCGGUACUGUUGGGCUGCUUCAUUGAUUUGCAUACAUGAAAGACCACCUUUUCAUCACCCACCCGGAAGGUAAGUUCCCCUGCUUCUAAAUCAACUAAGGCCUUCCCGUAGCAAAGAAAGGUCUCCCUAAUAUGAUAGGAACUUCAUAAUCCACCUCUCAUUCCAAGGUCACAAAGUCAGCUGACAAGAAAAAUUAUUCCACUCGGACAAGCACAUCAUCAACAAUACCCAAUGGUCUCUUCAUUGAUCUAUCCGCCAUUUAUAACCUCAUGGAAGUCGGCCUCGGUUGCUUGAUACUCAAAGAUUUAAAAUUUGAGUAGGACAUCAAAUAAAUACUAGCCCCCAUAAUACAUAGAGCUUCAGAAAAAUCUGCACUCCCAAUUGUGCAAGGAAUGGUAAAAACACCGGGAUCUUCAAGCUUCGGGGCCAUUGAAUAAACUAUAUCAAGAACUUGGUGAGUCAUCUUUAUAGUUUCACAAUCCAUAGACCGCUUCUUUGUAAUCAAGUCAUUCAUGAAUUUAGCAUAGACCGACAUUUUUUCAAGAGCCUCCACCAAAGGCACAUUAAUGGAAAAACUCUUCAUCAUGUCAAUGAACUUUUUAAACUGAUUCUCAUUUUCUACUUCGCGAUCCUUUGAGGAUAAGGUGGAGGUGGCCUUGGCAAAUGAGCCUUGGCUUUAGGCACAACCGACGUUUAUCAUUUAUUCCCUUUUAUGCGGGUUCACAUCAUUUUCAGUUUCCACCUCGGCAUCUUGAAUAUCGAUCCUCACUUCUUCAUUCACGUUCUCAUUAAUCACAUUUUCAACUUCGAAAGGAACUUCAUCUUCUUGCAACUCAACAUUAUCACACAAAACUUGCUUUUGUGUGGAGGCAUUCACAUCACCGCCUCGUCCACUUCUUGUAGUUACCGCCAUAACAUAAUUGUUUCCAACCUUCUGUUUCACUGCUAUAUCACUUGGUAGAGAACCUUUAGGGCGUGUAUUAAAGGACCGAGAGAUUUGGCCUAUUUGAACCUCCAAAUUGUGAUUGAGGUAUUGUUUGAAGCCAACUGUGCAUCAGAAUUCGCAUUCGUCUUCAUCAUUUGUUCGAACAUCAUUUCAAUUAUACCCAUAUUGUUGCUAGAAGAACUAGGACCUUGAGAUGGGAAUGUGGGUGAAUCGUUUGGUUGGUGGUACAUUGGGGGCCUUUGAAAGCCUUGCCCCCAGUUUCCUUGGUUUCCAUUGUUCCAUCCACCUUGAUUGUUGCUACCACCCCUAUUGUUGUUAUUACCAUUCCAAUUUCGUUGGUUGUUUUGAUUGUUAUUCUGACUGCCCUAGUUGUUGUUUUGGUUGUUAUUCUCCCAAUUACCAUUGCCUUGUUGUUGAUUGCCCUAAUUGCCUCGAGGUCUCCAUUGUUGUUGGUUGGAAGAAUUGCCUCCUUGGCCUUAAUAAUUAUUCACGUAUUGCACCUCUUCACUUUGUUCAUCAUAACCAUCAUUUUGAAAUCCACCACAAUCAUUUUCAAAUUGCUCCGAAUUCCCUUGAUUUUGUUGCCUCUUUGUCUUAUUUUAUUGACAAGCAUGUUGACACCGUCGAUGGGAUUAACUUGGCAAGGAUUUUGAACUUAAUGCAAUUGUUCCUGUCAAAUUGCUAUGUAUUCCCUUGAUUCUGUUGACCUCGUUGUCUUCUUUUGUUGACAAGUAUGUUGAUACCCUCCAUGGCAUUCACUUUGCGAGGAUUUUGAACUUGUUGCAACUGUGCCUUUGCUAGUUGGUUCAUUGUGGUUGUCAACUGAGCUAUAGCCUACCCAUGAUCAUGUAAUUCCUUGUGCAAAUGAGUAGCCGUGGGGUCACCCUAGGGCCUAUUGGCUCUACUUUGCCACACAAAAGAAGUGUCAACCAUCUCGUCAAGAAUAUCACAUGCGUCAUCAUACGACAACUUCAUAAAGUUGACCCCAUCAAGUUGGUUCACUAUGCAUUGAUUUGUAGUAUUAAUGCCCCGGUAGAAGGUUUGUUGGAUCAUCGCCACGGUCAUAUCAUUAUUGGUGCAUUCCUUUACCAUUGUUCUAUAACGCUCCCAAAUCUCAUGAAAAUGUUCCGUAGGCUCUUGCUUGAAGACCAAUAUCUCAUCUCUCAAUGAAUCAAUAUGUCCCGGUGAGAAAACUUUUGCAAUGAACUUGUCCGCCAACUCAUCCCAAGUAGUGAUGAAAUGGUUGGGAAGUCGCUCAAGCCAAAUGGGAAGAGCCUAUACCUAAGAUCAAGGAAAGGUCUCGCUAAUAUGAUAGGAACUUCAUAAUCCACCCGCAUUCCAAGGUCACAAAGUCAGCUGACAAGAAAAAUUAUUCCACUCGAACAAGCACAUCAUCAAUAAUACCCAAUGGUCUCUUCAUUGAUCUAUCCGCCAUUUACAACCUCAUGGAAGUCGGCCUUGGUUGCCCGAUACUCAAAGAUUUAAAAAUCGAGUAGGACAUCAAAUUGAUACUAGCUCCCAAAUCACAUAGAGCUUUAGAAAAAUCUGCACUCCCAAUGGUGCAAGGAAUGGUAAAAACACCGGGAUCUUCAAGCUUCGGGGCCAUUGAAUAAACUAUAGCACUAACUUGGCGAGUCAUCUUUAUAGUUUCACAAUCCAUAGACCGCUUCUUUGUAACCAAGUCCUUCAUGAAUUUAGCAUAGCCCGAUAUUUUUUCAAGAGCCUCCACCAAAGGCACAUUAAUGGAAAAUCUCUUCAUUAUGUCAAUGAACUUUUUAAAUUGAUUCUCAUUUUCUACUUCACGAUCCUUUGAGGAUAAGGUGGAGGUGGCCUUGGCAAAGGAGCCUUGUCUUUAGGCACAACCGGUGUCUAUCAUGUAUUCCUUUUUAGGCGGGUUCGCAUCAUUUUCAGUUUCCACCUCGGCAUCUUGAAUAUCAAUCCUCACUUCUUCAUUCACGUUCUCAUUAAUCCUAUUUUCAACUUCCAAAGGAACUUCAUCUUCUUGCAACUCAACAUCAUCACUCAAAACUUGCUUUUGUUUGGAGGCAUUCACAUCACCGCCUCAUCCACUCCUUGUAGUUACCGUCAUAACAUGAUUGUUCCCACCCUUUGUGUUCACUACCGUAUCACUUGUUAGAGCACCUUAGGAUGUGUAUUCAAUGACUGAGAGAUUUGGCCUAGUUGUACCUCGAGAAGACAAACAUGAUUGUUUCCACCCUUCAUUUUCACUACUGUAUCACUUAUUAGAGUUCUUUUAGGGCGUGUAUUCAAGGAACGAGAGAUUUGGCCUAUUUGAACCUCCAAAUUUCUAAUUGAGGUAUUGUGGUGAGCCAACUGUGCAUCAGAAUCCACAUUCUUCUUCAUCAUUUGUUCGAACAUCAUUUCAAUUAUACCCAUAUUGUUGCUAGAAGAACUAGGACCUUGAGAUGGGAAUGGGGGUGAAUUGUUCGGUUGGUGAUACAUUGAGAGCCUUUGGAAGCCUUGCCCCCGGUUUCCUUAGUUUCCAUUGUUCCAUCCACUUUGAUUGGUUCUACCACCCCAAUUGUUGUUAUUACCAUUCCAAUUUCCUUGGUUGUUUUGAUUGUUAUUCUGAUUGCCCCAGUUGUGGUUUUGGUUGUUAUUCUCGCAAUUACCAUUGCCUUGUUGUUGAUUUCCCUAACUGCCUUGAGGUCUCCAUUGUUGUUCGUUGGAAGAAUUGCCUCUUUGGCCUUAAUAAUUAUUCACGUAUUGCACCUCUUCACUUUGUUCAUCAUAACCAUAAUUUUGAAAUCCACCACAAUCAUUGUCAAAUUGCUCUGUAUUACCUUGAUUCUGUUGUCCUCAUUGUCUUCUUUUGUUGACAAGCAUGUUAGCACCCUCCAUGGCAUUCACUUGGCGAGGAUUUUGAACUUGUUGCAACUGUGCCUUUUCUAGUUGGUUCAUUGCGGUUGUCAACUCAGCUAUAGCCUGCCCAUGAUCAUGUAAUUCCUUGUGCAAAUGAGUUGCCGUGGGAUCACCCUAGGGCCCAUUGGCUCUACUUUGCCACACAAAAAAAGUGUCAACCAUCUCGUCAAGAAUAUCACAUGCCUCAUCAUACAACAACUUCAUAAAGUUGCCCCCAUCAAGUUGGUUCACUAUGCAUUGAUUUGUAGUAUUAAUGCCCCGAUAGAAGGUUUGUUGGAUCAUCGCCUCGGUUAUAUCAUUGUUGGGGCAUUCCAUUACCAUUGUUCUAUAGCGCUCCCAAAUCUCAUGCAAAAGUUCCGUGGGCUCUUGCUUGAAGGCCAAUAUCUCAUCUCUCAAUGAAUCCAUAUGUCCCGGUGAGAAAAAUUUUGCAAUGAACUUGUCCGCCAACUCAUCUCAAGUAGUGAUGAAAUGGUUGGGAAGUCGCUCAAGCCAAAUGGGAAGAGUCUCAACCUAAGAGCAUCCUAGGACACAUUAGUGUGCUUGCUCCCCUAACAUGUAUCCACGAACACCUUGAGAUGUUUGUAAGCAUUUUGAUUUGCAACACUCGUGAAAUACCCACGCUGCUCUAGUAAGGACAACAUCGCAUUAGUUAUUUGAAAAUUACCCGCCCGGAUUCGGGGUGGGACAAUAGCAUUUGGAUACCAUUGGUUCGGAAGCACUCUAGGAGCCACUCUUGGAGGUGGCGAAUGAGGGUAUGGAAUAUUGUUAUUAACAUUAGCAUUAUCCUGGUGGCCUCUACGUUGUCCUUGAGGUACAAGAGGCACCUGAUCAUCUCCGACAUAAUCUACCUCCUCCCACACAAUCACAUUUCCAAGAGGGUCGUUGCCGUUGUUAGCUGCCAUUUGGUACCUGAAGUUGUGACACACAUGAAUUAGUAACAAAGAAGGAAAUAAGACCAAUACACAAAACUAUUUAGAUAGAUAGCUAAAACCGUUAGCUCCUCGACAACGACGCCAAAAAAGUGAUCGAGGACAACCAUGUACUACUAUUGAGUAGUGAGAGAGGGUCGAAGUAGCUUUUACCUGAUUAAGGUCGAGAUCGAUUUCCACAGGGAGCUAGAAGUUGGAGUUGGAUUUCUAUCUAAAGUGGAGUUGUGUAUUUGCUCCGAAUUGCACUUCUAAACAUUUUUGGAUUUUGUUUUACUUAUAACUGUCACACCUCCUUUUUCCCAUCCCCGGAAGGGUAUAAAGGAGUUUUUUUCUAAUUAAAGGACAAUCGAAACGAAAUUUAUUAUUAAGCUUCAGAGUCGCCACUUGGGAGAUUUAUGGUGUCCCAAGUCACCGGUUGAAUCCCAAAUCGACGAAAAGAUUGACUCUGUUUAACGAUCCGCGAAAUCCGAGUAAUGAAUUCUGUUAAACGGGGAGAAAGUGUUAGGUAUUCCCGGGUUUCGUGGUUCUAGCACAGUCACUCAACUAUCAUAUUCGGCUUAAACUAUCCGAUUUUAAGCAUUUAUGAGCCUAUGUGUGAAUUUUAACCGUUAUUAUUAUUAUUAUUUUUACAGAGAAUUGCAACGUCGUUAAAAUACGUCUCGAACCGCGUCACAUAAAUGCACCCGUAAUUUUUUACACAUUUUAACACCGUCGCGAUUUGAAUUUGGAUAACAUAAAUGCGCACCCGAAUUUAGGAAAGUAAUAUUAUUAAACACGCACCUAAAGCAACUACGCUUUUGCACUUUGCGAGGGCCAUGGAAUUUGCUAAAUGACACGCCUCGGAAUCUAAGGAUCAAUUCAAGGUUAAAUAAAGCGAGGGCCAUGCAAUUAUCAUUUUUGUUUGGCAUGACGCACCUCAAUUAAUUUUAAAGGAAAGAAAUAUAUUUAUCAUUCCUAUUUAUAUCUAAAGAAAAACUAAUCUUCACAACUAGGUCACGAGAACCAUACGCGUAGUUCUAAUAGUCCUAUUGCGCGCCUAUAGGUUCGCCUACCUAUGAAAUACCAACAAUUUGGACAAAGCUUGCAUCCAGUGGUCUCGACAUACACAUGACAUUCGGUCGGCUUAAUGGUCAAUUCUUAUAAGAAACCAUACGGCCCAAUUCUAAAAGAAUGGGCCAAGUGACCAUAGUAGUCCAUUUCCUCAUAGUUCAAAAUCAGAAACACACUGAAUUCACUUACCUGACGCUGAACUUGACAGCCCCAAAAAUGUUACCAAAUUACUAUUUAACAUGAAGUAAAGGGAAAAGAAAAAUGAAAAAAUCAACAGAGGAAAAUCUACCCAGGCUUGAACAAGCAUAUGCAUAACAGUUAUUGCAAUCUCAUGUGGGAAUUUCUUUAUCAUAGGAAUCAGCGAGGCAAUAUAAAUCUAAGGAACAUUAAACACUCCAAUGGAAUAGCAGCAGACAAAGCUAGAAAAGCAAAUGAAAAUUGAGAAAGACAUAGAAAUGAGGGACUGGAACAUUAGCAAUAACAGAGGGAGGCAAUCGUAAAAAAAAAACCAAGCAGCAAGAACUCGAUGAAAUUCAGUCAGCUGGAAACUGCGUCUGAGACUGACCCAGAACCAAUCCACAAAUAGCCUCCAAUAUUUCAACAGUAUUCUGCCCAGGAAAUUAUUUAAACAAAAUAGAUUUUGGAUCAUUUUUGAAUCAUAUCAUUCGAGCUUGAAGCUAACAAAUCAACAACCACCGUUCGAGCACCUAACUCUGCCUUGACACGCGUCACUUCUAGACAUAUUCUGACUUCUCUUAGCAAUUGAAACACAGGAUAAAUAAAGGAUCCUACCGACAUGAUGAAUCAAUAAAAUGAACUUGUUCAUGAGUAGUUCGUGCAUAAUUUAUAUGAAAGAAACUCGGACAAAGCAGAAAUUACCAUUGAAAGCAGCGCUGGACAACAAACCAUGACAUUGAAACAACUAUGUAAAAAAAGGUUAAAAGCCAAAUCCGAGCACCAUACUUGGUUCAGAUGAAUUUCGAAGCUCAAAAGUUUGCAUAGCAAGGGAAUCAAACACGAAAUACAUCCGACUAUCCAGCCUUAGCGAAAAUUUGCACAGAAUCUGCUGAGAAGCAGGGCAUUACCAAAUUUUCUCCAAUUGACUAAAAAAUGUUUGAGAGCUGAGAUUAAUCUUAUCUCAUUCAAAGGUGAAAAAGAAUUGGAAGACAUGUGCCAAGAUAGUUUGUGCAUUUCAGCAUUAGUACAUAAACAAAACUAGAAAACUUGACUGACUGGCGUCUAAUACACAAAUAGGCAUGAAACUUAAAAGUACACGAGUCACUCAAACUCAUUCAGCUAGUAAGCAAAGCAAUUCUGACAGCCAAUGACAAAGAAAAUGAGCAAAGUUAAUCUUCAACCCCUAAACAUGUACAAACAAAAAUUAAACUAUGGUCGGACAGUGACUUUCAGGAUGUAAAUCAAAGAUCACAGCAAAAUAUGAACAUACAUAAUCCAUAUCUAAAAGACUAGCAUUCUGCAUGAAAACUGAAACACCAUAACCAAUCUUCUACAAGCCUCUCGACCCCAAAACUCAAACGCCAGAUGUUCUGUAUAUCCACAAACUAGACACCAACUCGAAAAGAACAGAAACACAGAACCAAACCAAUUAUAAGAAGAGAACAGUAGAAGACAAUUUCAGAGAACUCAUUUUAAUACGUACACAGCCAAACCAAGCCAGAAAUACGCAUAAAAAUGGCAAACAAAUACACUACGACCAACAGUCACCAAGAUUCAAAUAGUUCCAAACCAGCUGAACUCGAAUUCUCCAUAUAUUUCUGAAUCAAAUGCCAAAGAUAGAGGCUACAUGAGAUAAAAGACCAACCUGAAUCAGCAAACACUUUGGAUUAAUUUUAGUUGAAUGCUAAUACCAGUGAUAUCCAGCAGCAGAGAUCAAAACAACAGCAACUUUGAAAUCAUGAAAGCCCCAGACAGAAAUUUGAAGCAAGCACCAGGGUUUAACAAUCGACACAAACCAGCUUAACUUCAAUCGAGCUCCAUUUUAGAACAAGGAAUCAUGAAAAAACAAUGCUGAGAAUUUUGUUUUUUGAUUUUGUCGAAAUGAAAGUAAAACUCACAAAAUUGAAACUCAGACUAUAUUGCCUUUUUUUUUCUUUUCUUCAAAAAAUGCCAAUGAAGAUUCAAGACUAGAAACUGAAAAAAGACUUUCAGAACCCUAGACCCUCUCUCUGAAAAAUUCCCCCUUCUGAAAUCCCAAAAUUCCUCUAGUUAUCAGGCCAACACCUGAUGAAUGAAGCGCUGGGAUUAAUCGAAAUCGAUCCCACACUCUCCAUUCAUCCAGCAUAUGCCUUCUAGAGGCUUCCAUCACGUGAGAAGGGUGUGGGGAUGAGAGAAUAUGUUAAAGGUCGUUACAAAUAUGGUGACGAGUAGGUAGGGGGAACGCUUGAGGUGAGAUGGGAGCUCACUCGCGUGAAUUUUGGGCUGAAAUAGGGGCUUGGUUCGUGGAGAAGAACAGUCGCAG